rnacentral:rRNA from 1 species
UACGAAGGGGGCUAGCGUUGUUCGGAAUUACUGGGCGUAAAGAGCACGUAGGCGGUUAGUUUAGUCAGAGGUGAAAUCCCGGGGCUCAACCUCGGAACUGCCUUUGAUACUGGCUGGCUAGAGACCGAGAGAGGGUGGCGGAAUUCCCAGUGUAGAGGUGAAAUUCGUAGAUAUUGGGAAGAACACCGGUGGCGAAGGCGGCCACCUGGCUCGGUUCUGACGCUGAGGUGCGAAAGCGUGGGGAGCAAACAGG